AUGAACGCUGGCGGCGUGCCUAAUACAUGCAAGUCGAGCGAACGGACGAGAAGCUUGCUUCUCUGAUGUUAGCGGCGGACGGGUGAGUAACACGUGGAUAACCUACCUAUAAGACUGGGAUAACUUCGGGGAACCGGAGCUAAUACCGGAUAAUAUUUUGAACCGCAUGGUUCAAAAGUGAAAGACGGUCUUGCUGUCACUUAUAGAUGGAUCCGCGCUGCAUUAGCUAGUUGGUAAGGUAACGGCUUACCAAGGCAACGAUGCAUAGCCGACCUGAGAGGGUGAUCGGCCACACUGGAACUGAGACACGGUCCAGACUCCUACGGGAGGCAGCAGUAGGGAAUCUUCCGCAAUGGGCGAAAGCCUGACGGAGCAACGCCGCGUGAGUGAUGAAGGUCUUCGGAUCGUAAAACUCUGUUAUUAGGGAAGAACAUAUGUGUAAGUAACUGUGCACAUCUUGACGGUACCUAAUCAGAAAGCCACGGCUAACUACGUG
rnacentral:rRNA from 1 species